rnacentral:rRNA from 1 species
ACUGCUCAGUAACACGUGGCCAAACUACCCUUCGGACCACAAUACCCUCGGGAAACUGAGGUUAAUAGUGUAUACCACAGUCCACCUGGAAUGAGGACUGUGCCAAACGCUCCGGCGCCGAAGGAUGUGGCUGCGGCCGAUUAGGUAGACGGUGGGGUAACGGCCCACCGUGCCAAUAAUCGGUACGGGUCAUGAGAGUGAGAACCCGGAGACGGAAUCUGAGACAAGAUUCCGGGCCCUACGGGGCGCAGCAGGCGCGAAACCUUUACACUGCACGACAGUGCGAUAAGGGAAUCCCAAGUGCGUAGGCAUAGAGCCUACGCUUUUGUACACCUUAGGGAGGUGCACGAAUAAGGGCUGGGCAAGACCGGUGCCAGCCGCCGCGGUAAUACCGGCAGCCCGAGUGAUGGCCGAUCUUAUUGGGCCUAAAGCGUCCGUAGCUGGCCGCACAAGUCUAUCGGAAAAUCCACCCGCUCAACGGGUGGGCGUCCGGUGGAAACUGUGCGGCUUGGGACCGGAAGGCGCGACGGGUACGUCCGGGGUAGGAGUGAAAUCCUGUAAUCCUGGACGGACCGCCGAUGGCGAAAGCACGUCGCGAAGACGGAUCCGACAGUGAGGGACGAAAGCUAGGGUCUCGAACCGGAUUAGAUACCCGGGUAGUCCUAGCCGUAAACAAUGUCUGUUAGGUGUGGCUCCCACUACGAGUGGGUGCUGUGCCGUAGGGAAGCCGCUAAACAGACCGCCUGGGAAGUACGUCCGCAAGGAUGAAACUUAAAGGAAUUGGCGGGGGAGCAC